rnacentral:misc_RNA from 1 species
UUCUGGUGUUCCGCAAGCCAUGAUAGACACAGAGGUCUGGGUACCAUUUGACCGUGAAUACCCUGCAGAGAAUGAGGUAGUGGCGGAUGUGGGAUCAAUAGGAUUCACGGGAAGAUUAGGCUGGUUUACAAACUCCUUCUUUGUUGAUCGAAUGUGGAGCGAACACCACCAACCCGCUGAUCAUUGGAGAGCCCUACAGCUUCGUGUUGUACUACAGGAACUUCCCCUCGCAUCGGAACUGAUCACAUGUCAGGCUUGCAUAGAAAACGAGUUCCAUCCUCUGCAGUGUGUCCAACUAAACCAAAGUGGCGAAAAUUGUGUUGCUCUUAUGGCUGCACAUAAAGGUAAUCUCAGUUCUUUUAUGGUCGAGGAUCAGAUUUCAAGUCUUCGAUUGAACAUAUCAGUGAUAUGGCUUGGAAAUAACCUUACUUCCACAGUUUUGCUGAAUGAAGCAAAGAGAAAGCCGUUACUAUUUUAUGCCUGGGAUCCAUGCCCUUUAACCACAGAUGACAAAUUUAGGAGGAUUACCUUCCCUGGAUGCAGCUUUUCUUCGAACUACAUCGCCAUAAACCACACGAAUAAAUAUCAUGGAGGAUGCGAUUUUCCCUUGUACGACCUGCGUAAGUUUGUUUGGAAGGAAAUACAAAAUCGUUACAAGGACAUUUAUGGCCUAUUAAAAGCCAUCAGCUUUACACGAGAGCAAAUCACUGAUAUACUUCAUCAGGUCGGCACAACACAAAACAGCGCGUUAAUCAAUGACUCCAUGUGCCAUUGGCUGAAUAAAUCACGCGAUAUUUGGUUGCCAUGGAUACAAGCUGAAACUACAGCUAAAAGAACUGUGUAUAUUGGAGGGAUGUUUCCUAGUCUUGUGGAGGCAAAGGCUGUAUGGUCAAGUCCGGGUGAUGAAGUUGGAGCCCAACUAGCUAUCCAGGAGAUUAACAGAGACAAAAACGUUUUGGAGCGCUGCAGGCUUGAGCUACUUGUAGCUCCAACUCAGUGCAGAGGAGAGCUGGUGAUUUCGGCCUAUGUACGGUACCUGAAUCUGCAUCAUUCAGAAAAAGUGAUCGGUAUCGUUGGACCAGCAUGCAGCAAGGCAACACUUCCAAUAGCUGAAGUGGCGCGAUUUCACAACACAGUUCUGAUGGGCUACGGCGCUGAUGACGUGGCUUUAUCCGAUAGAACGAGAUUUCCGAUGUUUUUCCGAACAAAUCCAAGCAUUGACGAAUUCAAGCUCGCAUACUUAUCAAUUUUUCGAGAAUUUGGUUGGAAGAAAUGUGUUGUCUUGCGUGAGGCUAAGUAUCCAGUAAACACGAUACAGUCUCGUACAGAAUUCCUGACAAAACACGGAGUUCAAGUACUGUCACGUGAGUUGCCGUCCGGUGAAGACCUGGACGCCAAGAGUUAUGUCAAGAACGUUGCAGAGAGUAAACUGACGGUGGUAAUGUUGGACGCCUACCCAGCAGUCACCAGGGCAGUGACAUGCCAAGCAUAUAAGGAGGGUCUAACUUCAGAAAAAGGUUACGUGUGGUUCUUACUUGAUUGGCUGGAAUCUAAUUGGUGGGACGUAGAUUUUUAUAACAGCAAAAGGCACGCCGCACCAGAAAGCGUACCGUGCUCUAAUGAUGACAUGAAGACUUUUGUUGAUCAAGGCUACUUCACUUUAUCUUCUCCCUUUUUCGGAGAUGACGAACAACUCGUUGAGGGAGGAGGAACUGUUAAACAAUGGAAAGAACGAUAUCGAUCUACCGUGACAAAGCAGAAAAAGGAAUGGUCGGAUUACGCAUCGUUUGCGCAUGACGCUGUGUGGACAUACGCUGUAGCACUGAACCAGCUGCUCAAGAAUGACUCCUCUGCUUUGGAUAAGAUUGAUACCAAUUCUACCUCAGCGUAAGUAAAUUUUUAUGUUAUUUGGUAUUACAAAAUGUUUUACAGGUUUAAAGCUGAAACGGUGGUUUCCUAAAGACGAACGUAAACGACGCCAGUUUUAAUGUCAUGCAACCAGUAAUACUUUGAGAGGUCUGUACGAAGGAGGGAAACAAUUAACCCGCUCUCAGGAGUUUGAUAAAGCACUUGACUGAUUAAGAAAGUUCGGUCGCUAUAUACAGCAAGUGGACUUCUUGGGUGUGUCUGGAAGGGUUCACUUUAACAAAGGCGAUCGUCUCUCCGACAUUAUCAUCAAACAGAAAUUCACUUCGCACUC